UGUGCAUACUUUUUCUUUCUUUUCUUUCUUUUUCUCUCGGAAGGAUAUAGACCUUCACCUUACACACAAGGAUUCCUCACGCCCAGAUUUUUUCUCCAAAAUUUUUUUUGCACACACCCCACUCUUCUCCUCCUUUUAAAACAAUAUCAAACGUCUUAUCCACGUGAGAGGAUAAAGAUGAGUAAUUGCACAUUUGAAUUCAAAUCAAAUUUUGAAUUCAAAUGAAAACCAAUUUAUUCCUAUCCGCUAAGGGCGUGAGAAGAGGAGGGCAUGGCUUAAUUUGUGC
rnacentral:lncRNA from 1 species